rnacentral:rRNA from 1 species
CCUACGGGAGGCAGCAGUGAGGAAUAUUGGUCAAUGGACGAGAGUCUGAACCAGCCAAGUAGCGUGAAGGAUGACUGCCCUAUGGGUUGUAAACUUCUUUUAUAUGGGAAUAAAACGUUCCACGUGUGGGAUUUUGUAUGUACCAUAUGAAUAAGGAUCGGCUAACUCCGUGCCAGCAGCCGCGGUAAUACGGAGGAUCCGAGCGUUAUCCGGAUUUAUUGGGUUUAAAGGGAGCGUAGGUGGAUUGUUAAGUCAGUUGUGAAAGUUUGCGGCUCAACCGUAAAAUUGCAGUUGAAACUGGCAGUCUUGAGUACAGUAGAGGUGGGCGGAAGUCGUGGUGUAGCGGUGAAAUGCUUAGAUAUCACGAAGAACUCCGAUUGCGAAGGCAGUUCACUGGACUGCAACUGACACUGAGGCUCGAAAGUGUGGGUAUCAAACAGGAUUAGAUACCCUUGUAGU